rnacentral:rRNA from 1 species
GACGAACGCUGGCGGCGUGCUUAACACAUGCAAGUCGAACGGAAAGGCCCUGCUUUUGUGGUGUGCUCGAGUGGCGAACGGGUGAGUAACACGUGAGUAACCUGCCCUUGACUUUGGGAUAACUUCAGGAAACUGGGGCUAAUACCGGAUAGGAGCUCCUGCUGCAUGGUGGGGGUUGGAAAGUUUCGGCGGUUGGGGAUGGACUCGCGGCUUAUCAGCUUGUUGGUGGGGUAGUGGCUUACCAAGGCUUUGACGGGUCGCCGGCCUGAGAGGGUGACCGGCCACAUUGGGACUGAGAUACGGCCCAGACUCCUACGGGAGGCAGCAGUGGGGAAUAUUGCACAAUGGGCGGAAGCCUGAUGCAGCAACGCCGCGUGCGGGAUGACGGCCUUCGGGUUGUAAACCGCUUUCGCCUGUGACGAAGCGUUAGUGACGGUAAUGGGUAAAGAAGCACCGGCUAACUACGUG